rnacentral:rRNA from 1 species
GGUUAAGCGACUAAGCGUACACGGUGGAUGCCCUGGCAGUCAGAGGCGAUGAAGGACGUGCUAAUCUGCGAUAAGCGCCGGUAAGGUGAUAUGAACCGUUAUAACCGGCGAUUUCCGAAUGGGGAAACCCAGUGUGACUCGUCACACUAUCAUUAACUGAAUCCAUAGGUUAAUGAGGCGAACCGGGGGAACUGAAACAUCUAAGUACCCCGAGGAAAAGAAAUCAACCGAGAUUCCCCCAGUAGCGGCGAGCGAACGGGGAGGAGCCCAGAGCCUGAAUCAGCAUGUGUGUUAGUGGAAGCGUCUGGAAAGGCGCGCGAUACAGGGUGACAGCCCCGUACACAAAAGCGCAUGUGCUGUGAGCUCGAUGAGUAGGGCGGGACACGUGGUAUCCUGUCUGAAUAUGGGGGGACCAUCCUCCAAGGCUAAAUACUCCUGACUGACCGAUAGUGAACCAGUACCGUGAGGGAAAGGCGAAAAGAACCCCGGCGAGGGGAGUGAAAAAGAACCUGAAACCG